rnacentral:lncRNA from 1 species
AUGCAGGAGCAGAGGGGAUUCGCUCAGAGGUUAAUGUCUACACCACGGAGGAGAACGUCUGUACCAUUGAGGAGAACUUCUAUACCACGGAGGAGAAUGUCUACACCACGGAGGAGAACAUCAUCUACGUCAUCUACGAAAUGCAGGAUCCAAUGUUCUGAUGCAGAGGUGUGGCACAGAGAUAAGGCGUGGAACUCUGGGAGAAGGCAUCUCUGUCCAUAAAACAGCUUUGGAGAGAGGGUCAGCAAUGAGCAGAUCUGGAGGAGCAGAGGCUGCCAUCGAGAAGCCGAGGAACUAGCUCCUACCUCACCGGUGAGUCCAGUUGUCUGCCGACUCAGGCCGGGUUGGGAACCUAGCCCUGCUGUCUGCCCUGGGUGUCAAUGAGCAGGAUGAUGUUUGAUCGCAGCAAUGAGGGGAGGUCCACAUAAGCAGUUCCUUGGGUCUGUCGUUGUUUAAAUGGAG